GGGAGUUCUUUGACAAUCUGCCUGUAGUGAUGGACAGGCAUGCCUUCCCUCCACACAUGAUUUACAAUGUGGAUGAAACAGGUGUCUUUACAGUACAAAAGCCACAGCAGGUUGUGACAGAGACAGGAAAAAA